CUUCCAAAAGAUACAAGUAUCCUCAUGAUAUUCCUUGGUGUUGCGGCUUCUCUUCUACAGGGCCAGUAAUUCAUGGACAUGUACAAAUGCAAUAACUUUUUGCAACCUUAACAAUGUCUGUCUGGCUGGCCAAAAAACAUAUACAGAUGAUCAUAAUCUUUCUCGGUAGCAAUCCAAACAUACGUAACGCGCACUUUCUCGUGCUUGUGAGUUCCUAACUAAACCUUCGAUUUGCUUCAUAUUAAACUCAUUUUUAUUAGCUACUAGCUGUCUAGGAACAGCAUGUUUUUAAAUUGUUAAAAUACAUGCUUAACGAGAUAGUUAUAGUUAUUAGUCGCUUUGGAACGGAGCUUAGAAAACUGUUGUUACGGAAUAUAUUUACAUGAGAUGAUCAAUUUUAUAGAGAUGGAUUGUGUAUUAAAGUGGUAGAUGUUCAUUUUGUGGAUAGAGAUGUGUUGUUUGCUUUUUUUUUUUUUUUUUUUGUUUUUCUUUUGGAUGUAAAGUAAUUGAAUUCCUCUUUAUUGUGAUUGUCUUUUGAUUUAUGGGAAUUCCUCUCUCUUUACAGGAAUUAAUUGAUUCAAACUUGAGGUUUGACCAACUGCCCUGCUUAAAUUAGAAAUAGAAAAAAAUUGAUCAAAGUAAUUGAAAAGAUUAGUUUGUUGGUUAAGUCAGUUAAAAAAAGAAAAAAGAAAAUUGAUUAUUAUUAUUUUUGAAACCAAUUCAUUAAACAACUUGAGAGUAUGCAUAUUCUGGGGAAUAUUGUCUCCCAG
rnacentral:lncRNA from 1 species